UACGUAGGGUGCAAGCGUUGUCCGGAACUAUUGGGCGUAAAGAGCUUGUAGGCGGUUUGUCGCGUCUGCUGUGAAAACCUAAGGCUCAACCUUGGGCUUGCAGUGGGUACGGGCAGACUAGAGUGCGGUAGGGGUGACUGGAAUUCCUGGUGUAGCGGUGGAAUGCGCAGAUAUCAGGAGGAACACCGAUGGCGAAGGCAGGUCACUGGGCCGCAACUGACGCUGAGGAGCGAAAGCAUGGGGAGCGAACAGG
rnacentral:rRNA from 1 species